rnacentral:rRNA from 1 species
UCGAGAGGGUUCGGCCCUCGGCUGACUGCUCAGUAACACGUGGAUAAUCUACCCUAAGGUGGAGGAUAACCUCGGGAAACUGAGAAUAAUACUCCAUAGGUCUAAGAUGCUGGAAUGCAUUUAGACUGAAAACUCCGGUGCCUUAGGAUGAGUCUGCGGACUAUCAGGUUGUAGUCAGGGUAAAGACCUGACUAGCCUACGACGGAUACGGGUUGUGAGAGCAAUAACCCGGAGACGAUAUCUGAGACACGAUAUCGGGCCCUACGGGGCGCAGCAGGCGCGAAACCUUCGCACUGUGCGAAAGCGCGAUGAGGGGAUCCCAAGUGCUUGCUCGUAAGAGUAAGCUGUUUUUAUGUCUAAAAAGCAUAGAGAGUAAGGGCUGGGUAAGACGGGUGCCAGCCGCCGCGGUAAUACCUGCAGCUCAAGUGGUGAUCAUUAUUAUUGGGCCUAAAACGUCCGUAGCCGGUUUGGUAAAUGCCUGGGUAAAUCGUGUAGCUUAACUAUACGAAUUCCGGGUAGACUGCCAAACUUGAGACCGGGAGAGGCUAGAGGUACUCCUGGGGUAGAGGUGAAAUUCUGUAAUCCUAGGGGGACCACCAGUGGCGAAGGCGUCUAGCUAGAACGGGUCUGACGGUCAGGGACGAAGCCCUGGGGCGCGAACCGGAUUAGAUACCCGGGUAGUCCAGGGUGUAAACGCUGCUUGCUUGAUGUUAG